GUUCAAAGUGUGUUUACACGGGCGGCUGAAAAAAAUUCAACCCAUAAGGGCGCGAAGAGAAAUUCUAAAUAGCCCACACCGCACGAACUUGGUUUCCUGUAACCACCUAUGGCCUGGUCGUGGUCCUCGUGGAGGAUGGAGACAUUUUCUCCUCUCCCUCCUCCCGUAGUAACCAGUCCACCAGAUCUUGUAUCUCACCAGUUCUGGCGGCGCGCCGCAGCACUCGGCGAUCUACGGCGCUAGGUUAGUGCAUCCGCUACUCUCUCUCCCCCCGGAAUUUCAUCUCUCCUCUCGCCUUGGUCUCUUCUACCUCCUCUUUCUGCAGCGAGAUCAACGCGAGCGAUGGUGGCGAGCAACAACGAGCGGCUGCGCGGGCUGAUGGGGAGCUGCCGCCCUGGCUGAUGCUCGAGCGGGCCGCGUGCUGAUGGGCGAGCGGCAACAGGGGCUAAUGAGUUGUGUUCUGCUCUGUUCUCGUUCACAUGCAGGGUCAAGGAGGCGGGAUAUCCAUGUCGGCUUCAUCCAAGGUCAAGCUUACCACGACCACCCCACCACCAAGCAAAGCGAACAACCACAUCACGGUGCCAAGCAAAGGACAUGACAGGUGCAGCGCUUGCUUUCAGUUUAGUCUUCGGGCUUGUAGAUAAAGGGAAGCAAUGCUGGAGGAAAGUCGCAAUGAUGGAAGCGAUAUCUAUGGUCGUGAGCAUAAUAUGAGGGGCAAAAAGACAUAAGUGAUUCUACCAAGUGAAGUUAUGAAGCUCGAGUGUUGACGGUGUUUGAUAUCUUUGUACUAUGUCUAUAGAAUAUUGUUAAAAACAUUUUGUUCUAGUUACCAUUUCCUUCUUCAUUUGAUGAAUUGUUAAGGUUCAAAGUGAUUUGGAUCUCAAUCUUGUUGCGCCUUGAACAUGUUGAUAUUGUAAAAAAAUAUAAUUCAUAUUUUGUCA